ensembl:lncRNA
CAAGUUAGCACUUUGGGCGGCUAACUAGUUGUUCGAGGGCUUAAGGAUUGACGGAAGUAAACAUCUUUACAUCUUAACAGUGUCUACUUAACACCAAUAACCCACAAAACACAAUAAAAAUGCCAAAAAAUACACAGAUAAAGUUGCAGUUGAAAAGUCAGUGUUGAAAGAAGAGACCAGAGAGGCAGAGCAAGUUUUAAAAAUAAUCGUGGUUUAUAAAACCCAGAUAUGACAGGAUCACCAAAGUGUUUACAGAAAUACAAAUACCAUCAGAAAAACCAUCAUAGAACAGUGUUAUACACUCGACAUGUACAAACUACUCUGUAAAAGGAACUCGGGGGAGGAUGGUUCAGACUGUAAGACAUUUUCCUUUCUUUAUGUCUCUUAAAAUCACAUUAAGCCACAAUGUAUUUAUUCUGUAAGGUUUUUUUUUUUUUUAGUAUCUUAUCAAAGUAGAACAUCCACCUACCAAACUACAGCUACUAUCACGUUCAUCUAGUUUAGAGAGAGAAGGUACAAACAACAUCUAGAGGGCGACAGAGGGGAGGACACAUAUCAAGCACUUUAACAUCAUGGAGGUUUCAGCAAGCAGUGAAAACGAAAUCAGGCGGUUUUCACUCAUGAGAAGAACAAGAUGUCGGGGUUUCAUGACCGUCAUCGUCUCGUCAAACUGUACAAAACCCUGUUUCUGUUUUUGUCAGCUGGUUACGCAAAUCGAACGGACGCUGAUCGCUAAAACUCCACCUGUUCUUGAGAUGUUCAGGCAGAUCUGGGAUCAGUUGAACAGCAUCUUGGACUGGGGUUCGUCCCCAUGCCAGUCCUCUGUUUACAAUGAUUAAAAUGCACAUUCACAAAUGUACAAACGGCUUCGGGACGCAGGAAUCUUCGAUGACGGAGCCUCCAAACACGAAGGAAUCACCAACAAGAUACGAUCAAUCACGUUCUCCAUUUCUAUGGAUUGUUUUUUUCUUCUAGCUUUGUACAAACACAUUUCAACAGAUUUACACAUGGAAAAAAAAGAGUGCAGGAUUGUGAACGGGAAAAAAAGCUCCUCGUCACCUACAAAAUACCGCGAAUCCCGGAGCGAAACAUGGCGACGUAUGAAGUCCAUCAUUGUCAGCGGCUACAACGAUUUACUAAUAUACACAUCAUGUCAAAUAAAUUAGGAUCUAUGUACAAUGUAAAAACAAAAGCAGCAUGCAGGCAAGACAACAGAGCCUUUUUACAAAACUAUCCGACACUAGAGAGGCGACGUGGGCCGUGUGUGUGCAGCGUGUCAUGUUUUAUGUUCAGUGUGUUUGAAAUGGACAGAGAAG